rnacentral:rRNA from 1 species
GACGAACGCUGGCGGCGUGGAUUAGGCAUGCAAGUCGAACGGUAUCAUCCUUUCGGGGGUGAGAGAGUGGCGAACUGGUGAGUAACACGUAGGUUAUCUACCCUCAAGACGGGGACAACCCAGGGAAACUUGGGCUAAUACCGGAUGUGAGCAACUUUUAGUUGUUUGAAAGGUGGCGUAAGCUGUCGCUUGGGGAUGAGCCUGCGUCCUAUUAGUUAGUUGGUGAGGUAACGGCUCACCUAGGCAAUGAUAGGUAGGCGGCCUUAACGGGUGGUCGCCCACACUGGGAUUGAGAUACGGCCAGACUCCUACGGGAGGCAGCAGUCGAAAUAGUCUACAAUGGUCGGAAGACUGAUAGUGCGACGCCGCGUGAACGAUGAAUCCCUUCGGGGUGUAAAGGUUCUUUUAUAUGUGAGCAGUGCUUCUUAUAUUAAACAGUAUGGGGAGAGAGAUAUUAGCAUAUGAAUAAGCAACGGCUAACUCCGUUGCCAGGCAGCCGCGGUAAUCUUCG